ACUCCUACGGGAGGCAGCAGUGGGGAAUAUUGCACAAUGGGGGAAACCCUGAUGCAGCCAUGCCGCGUGUGUGAAGAAGGCCUUCGGUUGUAAAGACACUUUCUAGUAGGGAGGAAGGUAGUGUAGUUAACACCUGCAUUAUUUGUACGUUACCUACAGAAGAAGCACCGGCUAACUCCGUGCCAGCAGCCGCGGUAAUACGGAGGGUGCGAGCGUUAAUCGGAAUUACUGGGCGUAAAGCGCAUGUAGGCGGCCUGUUAAGUCAGAUGUGAAAGCCCGGGCGUUAACCUCGGAAUUGCAUUUGAAACUGGCAGGCUAGAGUCUUGUAGAGGGGUUAGGAAUUUCAGGUGUAGCGGUGAAAUGCGUAGAGAUCUGAAGGAAUACCAGUGCGAA
rnacentral:rRNA from 1 species